rnacentral:rRNA from 1 species
UACAGAGGUCCCAAGCGUUGUUCGGAUUCAUUGGGCGUAAAGGGUGCGUAGGCGGCACGGUAAGUCGGGUGUGAAAUCUCGGAGCUUAACUCCGAAACUGCAUUUGAUACUGGUGUGCUUGAGGACUGGAGAGGAGACUGGAAUUCAUGGUGUAGCAGUGAAAUGCGUAGAGAUCAUGAGGAAGACCAGUGGCGAAGGCGGGUCUCUGGACAGUUCCUGACACUGAGGCACGAAGGCCAGGGGAGCAAACGGG